UUUACACAUCAAUCUGCCUCACUGCUGUUC
rnacentral:piRNA from 1 species